AGGAUGAACGCUAGCGAUAGGCUAACACAUGCAAGUCGAGGGGCAGCACGGUGUAGCAAUACACUGGUCGGCGACCGGCGUACGGGUGCGUAACACGUAUGCAACCUACCCGCUAUUGGGGGAUAACCCGGCGAAAGUCGGACUAAUACCCAUAUUAUUCUUACCGGGCAUCCGGUAGGUCUGAAAGAUUUAUCGAUUGCGGAUGGGCAUGCGGAUGAUUAGCUAGUAGGUGGGGUAACGGCUCACCUAGGCGACGAUCAUUAGGGGUUCUGAGAGGAAGGUCCCCCACACUGGAACUGAGACACGGUCCAGACUCCUACGGGAGGCAGCAGUGAGGAAUAUUGGUCAAUGGGCGCUAGCCUGAACCAGCCAAGUCGCGUGAAGGAUGACAGAAUCUAUGGUUUGUAAACUUCUUUUGCAGGGGAGUAAAGUGCGACACGUGUGUUGUAUUGCAAGUACCCUGCGAAUAAGCAUCGGCUAACUCCGUGCCAGCAGCUGC
rnacentral:rRNA from 1 species